AUGCUUGGUCUCUCAUUGAUCUUCACUGUAACAGCUGCAGCAACACAACACAGAGAGGUUUUUGUACCAGCAGUAAUAGGGAUUGUAUCACUGUGGUGGACUUUUGGUAGCGGCACCAGACUUGAUGUUGGAAGUAACAGUGCCCCCACCCUCACCGUCCUGCCCCCCUCUAGUGAGGAGCUGUCCAGUACAACAACAGCCACACUGACGUGUCUGGCCAACAAGGGCUUCCCCUCAGACUGGACCAUGAACUGGAAAGUGGACGGGACCAGCAAGACGCAGGAGGCCAGUUCUAGGGUCCUGGAGAAGGACGGCCUGUACAGCUGGAGCAGCACCCUGACUCUCACUGGCCAGGAGUGGACCAAGGCAGGAGAGGUGACCUGUGAAGCCCAGCAGAAAUCCCAGACUCCAGUCACCAAGACCCUGAGGAAGGCUGACUGUUCUGGGUAGGACCCCUCAGUCACACACCCCUGUGGAGAGAGGCUGCUGGUUCCUCUGCUUUGACUCUGUUCUGAGAUCAGAUGUUGUCUGUCUUAUUGAUCACUGACAUGUAGACUAACAGAGGGCUUUGCUUGAGUUCAUGUGUCAAUCCUCUCUGUAGAUUGAGGUUGUAUCAGUGUUAGAUGUGAUUAGAUGUGAUGUGUUCUGUUUUAUUACUAUUAGAUACUGUAGGAAUGUUUGCUUUGAUGCUUUGAUCAAUAGAUGAAAAUAAAGAUUUCC